UGUCUAUGGGAAAGUCUGGCUGUUAGAGGAACGUCUGGCUGAAGUUUUGCAGAGCUCCUUGCAAAGCCAAAACUGAAUGCGAUAGAGCCAUUGGAAUAAAAGUCGAAAGAUGCAAAAAAGCCAGAAUUGAGCUCUUCACAUGACAUAAAGUGACUUCCAGCUGGGCCCUGUGCCGAAAAGGGAGGUGAAGCAGCGCCCUUUGCUACAGCUGCAACCCAGAAGCCUGCCCGUGUUGCCUUCCCUUCAAUGGGGGGAAGCCGAGCAAUGACGAUUUCCCCCAUAGGAUGAGGAGGAAGGGGAAGCUCAUCUGCCUUUCAUUUGACCAAGAGCACCUCUAUUUUGUUUGGAUUUUUAAUUUGUUCAUCCUCAUCCCUUACUUCCAACCAGCACAAGUUUUAGAACAAGGACAGUUUUCUUACAGUGAGGCAAGUAGAAGAGGUAGAACUGGGUAUCAUCAACAUACCGGUGAAACUAACCUCUAAACUUUGAAGACCCUCUCCUCAAGGCUUUGUGUAUUUAUUAAACAGCAUGAGGGACUGAACAGAGCCCUGUGAGGAGUUGAACAAGACUCACUCAUCACCACUUUCUGAGAGUGUCUGUCCAUGAUUGAAUGAUAGCACUGCAAAACAAUGCCUCUGAGGCCCAUCCUAGCAAAGCAGUCCAGAAAUAUUCCAUAUUUGGUCAUACUGAACACCACUAAGAGUUCCAGCAGAACUUACCGUGUCACUUCCUCUGUCCAGUUCCCAA
rnacentral:lncRNA from 11 species